GAUGAAGAACGUAGCGAAAUGCGAUACUUGGUGUGAAUUGCAGAAUCCCGUGAACCAUCGAGUCUUUGAACGCAAGUUGCGCCCGAAGCCAUCAGGUUGAGGGCACGUCUGCCUGGGCGUCACAUAUCGUUGCCCAAUGCCUAUUGCAGUGCAAUAGGAAUUUCUAGGGCGAAUGAUGGCCUCCCGUGAGCGUUGUUGCCUCGCGGUUGGCUGAAAAUCGAGUCCUUGGUAGGGUGUGCCAUGGUAGAUGGUGGUCGAGUUAGAACGAUACCGAUCAUGUGCAUGCUCCCCAAAAUAUGGCCUCUAUGACCCACACGAGUCUUUUGACGCUCAUGACGAGACCUCAGGUCAGGCGGGGCUACCCGCUGAAUUUAAGCAUAUCAAUAAGCGGAGGA
rnacentral:misc_RNA from 1 species